rnacentral:tmRNA from 1 species
GGGGGUGACAGGUUUCGACCGGGGGCCAAGGGUGGUGCGAGAGGGAAAAGGCCCGCUAGUAGAUGCCCUCGAUGACCAGCACCGCAACCCUCGGGACCGGGGUUCGAGUCCCCGCACCUCCACCU